AUUGAACGCUGGCGGCAUGCUUUACACAUGCAAGUCGAACGGUAACAGGCCUUCGGGUGCUGACGAGUGGCGAACGGGUGAGUAAUGCAUCGGAACGUACCCAGAGGUUGGGGAUAACGCAGCGAAAGCUGUGCUAAUACCGCAUGUGAUCUGAGGAUGAAAGCGGGGGACCGAGCAGCAAUGUUUGGCCCUGCGCCUUUGGAGCGGCCGAUGUCGGAUUAGCUAGUUGGUGGGGUAAAGGCCUACCAAGGCGACGAUCCGUAGCUGGUCUGAGAGGACGACCAGCCACACUGGGACUGAGACACGGCCCAGACUCCUACGGGAGGCAGCAGUGGGGAAUUUUGGACAAAGGGCGCAAGCCUGAUCCAGCAAUGCCGCGUGCGGGAAGAAGGCCUUCGGGUUGUAAACCGCUUUUGGCAGGAACGAAACGGUGUCCGCUAAUACCGGGCGCUAAUGACGGUACCUGCAGAAUAAGCACCGGCUAACUACGUG
rnacentral:rRNA from 1 species